ACGAACGCUGGCGGCGUGCCUAAUACAUGCAAGUCGAACGGUCUUUCUAUGGAAGCUUGCUUCCACUGAGAAGAUAGUGGCGGACGGGUGAGUAACACGUGGGUAACCUGCCCAUAAGAGGGGGAUAACAUCCGGAAACGGGUGCUAAUACCGCAUAGUUUUCUUGAUCGCAUGAUCGGGAAAGGAAAGACGGCCUUUGUGCUGUCGCUUAUGGAUGGACCCGCGGCGUAUUAGUUAGUUGGUGAGGUAAUGGCUCACCAAGACGAUGAUACGUAGCCGACCUGAGAGGGUGAUCGGCCACAUUGGGACUGAGACACGGCCCAAACUCCUACGGGAGGCAGCAGUAGGGAAUCUUCCGCAAUGGACGAAAGUCUGACGGAGCAACGCCGCGUGAGUGAAGAAGGUUUUUCCGGAUCGUAAAACUCUGUUGUCAGAGAAGAACAAGUUGGAGAGUAACUGCUCCAGCCUUGACGGUAUCUGACCAGAAAGCCACGGCUAACUACGUGCCAGCAGCCGC
rnacentral:rRNA from 1 species